rnacentral:lncRNA from 1 species
UAAUUAGAAGCCGACAGCAGCAGGAUGGGACAUCAAGAUCUUCAGACAGCAGAGUAUUUCUCACAGUGAAGACUAAAUUUGAAAAAUAAAAAAUCCAGCAAGGAGAGAGCAGAUGGGCUGAGUACGCCUCCCCUGACCUCCUCAGCAGAUGGACUCCUCCCGCCCGCUUCAGCUGAUGGAGUCUUGGCUGGCCCGAUGCGCUGACCUUUCAUUACGCUGGCACGAUUGCGUGCUAUGACUCCACCACCAUCACACGGGAACCUGGCGGAAAAGCCUGCUGUGGACUGAUACUGCCCACUGGGCACAGCUGGAGGUGCCCUAAACCUUCACAAUGGCAUGGCUACUGUUUAAGGGGUAGUGUGGAUAAGAUUCGGUGUGUGAAGAAAACCAAAGCAACAGGCCCCGGAAGAGAAGUGGGGUAGAGCCAGGGCAGCUGGGCAGGAAAAGUGAUGGAUUGUGUAAUAGCCCUGUUCUAAUUCUCUCUUCUGGCUUAUUUCCCCUGGGGCAUGCUGGCAUGUUGUAGACUGUUCUUUAUCUACCGAAUUGAGUGAUGUCGUUUCCCUAGCUCACCCAUGGAGAGGGUCAUCUACUGCCAAUGGCUCUCCAAGUACAAUAUUAUGAUCUGGGUUGCGAAGAGUGUCCUUUCAGUGAUUUGUCUCUGGCAUCCAUGAUCCAACAAGUCCAACUGUUGGCAUCUCAGCACUGGGAACCGGUUGGUGGCAAGGGCCACCGUACCAGUGUUGGAGCUCUGGGGCUGCAUCUGCUGUUUUUUCACAAAUGCCAAUAAAAAUAGACUGCCAGGGACAGUGGAUGGCACACCCAGGCAUGCUUGGGUCCCACUGCCUUCUGUCAGCAAUUUAACAUCAUUUCCAAAGACCACAGUUUUCCUUUCGAAUGUUCUAAAACAUUAUUUAUGGAAGAAAGUCACGUUCUUUAGAUUCACCUCUGGUCUCCUAGUCUCAAGUGUAGUGUGCCAUAACUUGGCUAAAUAUAUCUUCUAAACUGUGUAGUUAAGAACCAUUAUUUUGGGCUAUAUCUGGGGAUAUAGCUCAGUUGGGAGGGCCUACAGACUCUGGAGAUAAACCCUAUCACUGCGCAGCCCAGCUGUGGUGGCACACAUCCAUUACCCCAGCACUUGGGGAGUAGAGGCAAGAAGAUCAGUAGUUCAUCAUUGACGGCACAGCAAUUUAGACUUCAGGGCUACUAGAACUUCUGUUAGUCUGGCACAGUGGUAGAGCACUUGCCUGCUCUGCACACGGCCCCUGGUCCAGCUCCAUCCAGCAGGGCAGUAUAAAGGGCCAGGUGGGCUGUUAAAUACGAAGCAGUGCGGAGGAGUGCCUGGUGUAUCAAGAGGGCUUGAAGGCUGCUCCUUCACUGUCUGAGGACCAUAGAUGUUUCCUUGGCCUAAGAAGCCACAGGGGUAAGGGUUGUUAGGAAGAUAGACCCAAGUGCAUUAGGCAUGAUUAACCAGCAACCUGGUAUUUUUUUUUUUCGAGAUAGGGUUUCUCUGUGUAGCCCUGGCUGUCCUGGAACUCACUCUGUAGACCAGGCUGGUUUCGAACUCAGAUCCACCUGUCUCUGCCUCCCAAGUGCUGGGAUUAAAAGUGUGCACCACCAUGCCUGACUUAUUUUUAUAUCUUUAUGUGUAUGAGUUUUUUGCUUGCAUGUGUGUAGGUGCACUAUGUGUGCACCUUGUGCUCGUGCUCAGGGAAGCCAGAAGAGGGUGACAGAUUCCCUUAGGACUAGAGGUAGAGAUGGUUGAGUCACUGUAUAGGUACAGGGAAGUGAACAGGAAAAGUAUUUGUGAGCUCUCUCAGCCUCUCAGUUUUGAAUCCAGAUGCCUCAGUAAAUAAAGACCCACCUCAGAAACCAAUGUGUAAAGACUCUUCCUCAGAGAGCUCCCAGGCUCUAGCAAGGAAAUGGGGAAAAAACUUUCUGCCUUAGUUUCUUUUUCUGUUACUUCAUUAAAAUACCUGACAGCCCCCACCCCCCAAAGAAAAACCAUGAGGGAGAACAAUUUUAUUUGACUCAUAGUUUGAGGGUACAGUCCACCAUGGUAAGGAGAUCAAAGUGACUGCUCAGCCCACUUUCUCCAAUUAUAGCGUCCAGGACCUUGGCCAGGGGAUGGUGCCGCCCACAGUGGGUGGGGCUUCUUACCUCAGUUAACACAAUCCUACAACCCUUGACAGGUGCAUGUCCAAGGUCCUCCUCUUUCUGGAAAACUGUCUGCACUUAACUUUCCAAUCAGAUUUGUCUUGUCUUUCCAUUAGUGUGUCCCUUUGUAUUCCAUGUAUUUUUCAAUUCGGUUGCUGCAUGUGUUUGUAAGUGCAUAUAUGAUUUUUAUGUCUUUUUUUUUAACCAUUGUGAAGUGACCCUCGUUAUCAGUGUUAAUACUUGUUAUCUAGUAGUUUGUGUUUUCUAAUAUCAGUAUGACCACACCACUUUUCUUUCUUUUUUCAUCUCUCUUCUAAAAAUUGUUUUUAGGGCCAGAACGAUGGCUAAGCAGGUAAAGGCGCUGCCACCAAGCCGGUGACCUGAGUUUGAUCCCUGGGACCCUCAUGGUGAAAGGAGAGAACCGACUCCUUCAAGUGCCCUCUGACCUCCACACGUGCACUGUGGUACGCACAUGCCUACACACACACACACACACACACACACACACACACACACACACACACAGAUUAAUAAAAUGUAAUGAAAUUUUAUAAAAAUAUAAAAAAUAUUUAAAAAUAAUAAAAUGUAAUGAAAAUUGUC